UAGGGAAUCUUCGGCAAUGGGGGGAACCCUGACCGAGCAACGCCGCGUGAGUGAAGAAGGUUUUCGGAUCGUAAAGCUCUGUUGUUAAGGAAGAACGAGUGUGAGAAUGGAAAGUUCAUGCUGUGACGGUACUUAACCAGAAAGGGACGGCUAACUACGUGCCAGCAGCCGCGGUAAUACGUAGGUCCCGAGCGUUGUCCGGAAUUAUUGGGCGUAAAGCGAGCGCAGGCGGUUAGAAAAGUCUGAAGUGAAAGGCAGUGGCUCAACCAUUGUAGGCUUUGGAAACUGUUUAACUUGAGUGCAGAAGGGGAGAGUGGAAUUCCAUGUGUAGCGGUGAAAUGCGUAGAUAUAUGGAGGAACACCGGUGGCGAAAGCGGCUCUCUGGUCUGUAACUGACGCUGAGGCUCGAAAGCGUGGGGAGCGAACAGG
rnacentral:rRNA from 2 species